CAAGUCAUCAUGGCCCUUACGGCCUGGGCUACACACGUGCUACAAUGGUCGGUACAAAGGGUUGCCAAGCCGCGAGGUGGAGCUAAUCCCAAUAAAACCGAUCGUAGUCCGGAUCGCAGUCUGCAACUCGACUGCGUGAAGUCGGAAUCGCUAGUAAUCGUGAAUCAGAAUGUCACGGUGAAUUACGUUCCCGGGUCCUU
rnacentral:rRNA from 1 species